UAGGGUUGUUCAUGGGUCGGGUCGGUUGAAUAUCGGCCGAUUAUCGGCCCGACCCGACCAACCGACUAUUGCCAAAAUGUAAAACCAUUACCGACCCGACAAUUGUGAGUCGGGUAACGGUUGGCAACCGACUUUGUCGGUUGCCGAAAUAGUUCGGUUGCAAAUUAUCGGCCGAUAUCGGCCACAGUAAAAAAAGAAAAAAAAAAACAGAUUUGCUGCUAGAUUUAGAGGCCGAUGUGCCGGUGAACUUCGAUAUUUUACAAUUUAAAAUAUUCUAAUUAUUAGAAAUUUAGAAAUUAAUUUACACACACAUCACAGAACACACAUCACAGAGUUAAAAAAAUGGAAAGUCUGUACAUUGAGAUUAUUUUUUUUUUACAAUUGUGUCUUUCUCUCUUACACACACAAGAACACACAAGUUAAUGAAUAUCAAUUUCAUUUUCGUUUCACACAAUUAGUAUGGAGAAACAUAAAAUCUAAGCAAUAAUCAUUCGUGUUUAAAAAAAAUCAAAUUAAAUCAUUCAAAUGAGGAAUUGCCCAAUUUUAAUUUGAGAAAAAAACGAAAAAAAACCCUAGCCUUGAGUUUUUGCCCUUUAGAGUGUAGAAUGUAAAAGAUAAAUAGAGAGGGCCAGAGGUGGAGAGUUGGAGGAAGUAGCAACCCACCGGCGCAGGCGGCGAUGACUGGUUGUGGCUUGCAAGAGAAAUGUCGGCGGUGGUGUACUGGUGUUUAUGUGGUGGAGUUUUGGUUUCUGCUUCUGGAUGCAGAGUUAGAGAGGAGAUGAAUAAUUUAAAAUUAGUAUUUUAAUAUUUCCCAAUAAUUUAGUGAAGUCAAAGUCAAAACUCAAAAGGUUAAAAAAAAUAUAUUAUAUAUAAAAAUGAAAAGUCGGUUGGUCGGGUAAUAUCGGCCAACCGACUUUUCCAUAAAUUAAAAACUAUACCCGACCCAACUAAACAUGGGUCGGUUAAAAUUAUCGGCCCGACCAAAAUGAGUCGGUUGGUGGGCAAUUAUCGGCCACAAUAGUCGGGCCGAUAAUGGGUCGGUUGCCGGGUAAAACCGACCCAUGAACAACCCUAAUU
rnacentral:lncRNA from 1 species